AGUCUCUCAUGGGAAGCAGGCUAAUCAACCAUUUGUUUGGCCGCAAUUCUCAGGCUUCUGCGAUUAGCCUGUUGAGCUCCUCUCUGUUGUUGACAAUAAUCACGGCGAGAAAAAGGGGGAGAUUUUGGCUCAGGGCUUGUUUGGCAAACUUCUGGAAGGCAAAUCUCCUGCAGGUGCAAGGGUUCCAGUUCUGGCUGAGAAAGUUCCAAUUCUGACUGAAACGGAGGAAAACCUAAGUUUUCCUCCUCAUCUGUCACAACAGUGUUAGGGACGGGACUACAUGGCCCAUGAGACAUCACACUUAUAGCUUAUGAGUUACCUAGGGGAGAAUUCUCAUAUGUGAAUCUUAUAUCUUUGCCUAAAAAUAAAGCUCAUAUCAUGGGUGAGUGAAAAAUGGAAGACAAAAUUAGUUGCACCAUGGGUAUGGAGUACAACCAUUAUUACUUUCCUUAAAUGCCAGUAAAUAUUAUUUUGAACAAGGACAAAAUCGUGAUUACAAUCCCAUCAACAAAUAUAUAUCUCCAAGACUCUUUCUUUGUUUCUUGGCAUGGGAAAAUGUCAGAGACAACAACUCCCAUUGUGUUUUCCGGCAUAAUCUUGUCAAAUCAGCUUUUGCAUUUCUCUGUGUUUUGCACAUUCCAACAUCACCCAGUCAGGGGUUGGCACAGCCUCAGGAGGUCCCUCCCUCCCCUGGACCACCUCCUCCAGUUUAUCGGAAGCCUCGGAGCCUCCCUGCCUAGAUGGGAGGAGAUCCCCAGCUACAUCACCACCGCCUCUUGCAAUCAGGGCAUGCACCAGCUUGGAUCUGCCUCCCGACCAAUCAGAGUCCUGGAGGAUGCUGGCCGAAUUCUUGGCACUUGCCAAGCAGAGAAAAGAAAGGGAGUUUCAACACGGAACAAUGUUAGUGAAUGGAAACUUACGUGUAUAAUAAUGUCUGCUUAUGAGUCUGCUUUUACACUUGUACCAUUCAAGCAUCCGUGCUGUACAAGUGUCCCUUUUGCGCAAAUUGAAUAAAGCCUCUGUCAUUUGCCUUCAACCUAGGGAGUUUAUCAGUUUCUGAUUCCUAGUUUGUGCUAUCUGCGGUUAGCGAAGCUUACCAGGCAUCCCUUGGCUAUCUGUGGGACUUAGAAAAAUUACCAUUUUUUUUUUACAUCUAGAUGUCUGGCAGUGACUCACCGCUGGGCCCCUCAGGAAGUUGGAAAACUACUUUAAAUGACAUCAUUAACUGAACAUGCUCGUUGUUGUGACUCAGCUGGAACCUCAGAUUGACUCUGAUGAGGAUGAUGGGAUUCAGGUUCAAAAUGUCCCUGUUGUAGAAGAUGAGGAACAGAGUGUGCAAGUUCAUUUUCCCACAGCAAGGAAUGAUGUUGUUGAUACUGAAACUAACCAGGUGCAAAUUGACUUAGAAAAGGAGGGCAGUUUUCAGUCUGAUAGCAAGCAGACAGACACUAACGAGCAGGCUGACCUUGAUGAAACGGGAACCUUAGAUCGAGCUGACCGUUUGGAAUUCAGAGUUCGAAGGAGUGUGAGAAUAGCAAACAAGAUGGAGGUCAGAGGCCAAAUAAAUGCUUUCAUGUUUUGCAAAGGGUAUUAAAGCAAUGUGUUUGGAGACAAACCUUUGUCAAAGCAACUUUUCGUUCAACCAAGAAGCAAGCUCUCAUUUUCCUGGAUUAUCUUGCAGCUCAUGUGUUCAUGUUCUUGGGACUUUGUCAUGCUCUAAUGGGACUCUGUUUAUUUCUGGUGAUUUCUUGAAUUAUACUCUUUUGUAACGAUCUUUUGGAACUUUACUUUUGUUUUUAAAGAACUUUUUAUCUUCUAUUUUCUAAUAAACUAAAAAGACUCCAGCAUGUGUGCAGGUGUAUACAGCAAGGUGAAGCUAUUCUGAGGUGCAGCACUCGUAUUGUCUUCUCCUGAUGGCCCCACUUCCGGAGGAAAGCCGGAAGAAACUCCUCAGUAAAUGCUGAAUGAUACUGAAAGAAUUGUGGGUCUGGAGGCCUGAAGUGUCUAGCUUUCCAGAAGGCCAAAUCUGACACAGACAUUGGAAGGCAAAUGCAGAGGUUUAUUGGCCAGAGAAGAUGUCAGCAGAGAAAGCACUCCAAAGUACUGACAUACUGCAGUUGCAAAUAUGGAGCAUUUUUAUUUUAUUAGACAUCUAUUCAAGAAACCUGUGCCAACUUCUGAUUGGUUGAAAAACUGCUCAGCUAGGAUCCGCGCUCUGAGUGGCUCAGGACUCUGUUGGAUAUCUUUGUGGGUUGGCUCUUUGUGAUGGCAGGAAAUUCAAUAAACUGUCAUUGGAUCA